rnacentral:rRNA from 1 species
UACGGAGGAUGCGAGCGUUAUCCGGAUUUAUUGGGUUUAAAGGGUGCGUAGGCGGAUCGUUAAGUCAGUGGUCAAAUUGAGGGGCUCAACCCCUUCCCGCCAUUGAAACUGGCGAUCUUGAGUGGAAGAGAGGUAUGCGGAAUGCGUGGUGUAGCGGUGAAAUGCAUAGAUAUCACGCAGAACCCCGAUUGCGAAGGCAGCAUGCCGGCUUCCUACUGACGCUGAAGCACGAAAGCGUGGGGAUCGAACAGG